rnacentral:rRNA from 1 species
CCCGGCGCACGGGUGAGUAACGCGUAUGCAACUUGCCUAUCAGAGGGGAUAACCCGGCGAAAGUCGGACUAAUACCGCAUGAAGCAGGGGCCCCGCAUGGGGAUAUUUGCUAAAGAUUCAUCGCUGAUAGAUAGGCAUGCGUUCCAUUAGGCAGUUGGCGGGGUAACGGCCCACCAAACCGACGAUGGAUAGGGGUUCUGAGAGGAAGGUCCCCCACAUUGGUACUGAGACACGGACCAA